GAAAGGUUGUGUGCUGAGGCAGGGUCUGGGGCCCAGCUAUGGAAUUUGCAGAAAUCCAGACUGUGAGUGAACGGGGUCAAAGGUGGCGCCUCCGGUCUUCCCGGGAAAAGUAGAAGCGUCCGGAACAGUCGAGCUCGCUGGUGUUCCGUUGUCAUGCAGUUUGUGGCGGCCAUACAGGGUCCAAUCUGCUGUAAGCGGGAGACGUCGUAGCGGAUCCAGCGUGCCGCACCAGGGAGCCGGACCAUGCAGCUGCAGCAUCAGUCACCAGGAAGAGCUGCAGUGCUCAGCAUCAGUCACCACCAGCCUGUCCAGGGUGUCUCCCCGCCUGCCGCCCAAUGACUGCUGGGAUAGGCUCCAGCAUCCCCGCGACCCUGACAGAAGGAUAAGUGGUUUGGAUGAUGGAUGGAUGGAAAUAAACUACAUCAUUUAGUACAAAGUCUCCAAAAUCUACUUAAGUACAAUGAAU